rnacentral:misc_RNA from 1 species
GGGGUCACUCCAUCUCGGGUAAUUGGGCGGCUCUUUGGCGCUUAGCACGGCGGUGGUCUGGUCCCCAUCGGACGCCGCGUCGUCGAAGGGCUGAGCCGAUUCGGAAGCAGCUGAAAACAGCCUCGGAGAAAGUUGAACAAAGCUAGGAUUCGGCAGCCGCUGAUAGCAGAAGCGAAGCCGGAGAAGUGGUAGACCUCUGAGGAGUAACGGAGCAGCCAUUGUUAAGCGUUUUUUGAGUGAUCAGUAGUUUUUGACUUAU